rnacentral:rRNA from 1 species
UUAAUUGAAGAGUUUGAUCAUGGCUCAGAUUGAACGCUGGCGGCAGGCCUAACACAUGCAAGUCGAGCGGUAACAUUUCAAAAGCUUGCUUUUGAAGAUGACGAGCGGCGGACGGGUGAGUAAUGCCUGGGAAUUUGCCCAUUUGUGGGGGAUAACAGUUGGAAACGACUGCUAAUACCGCAUACGCCCUACGGGGGAAAGCAGGGGACCUUCGGGCCUUGCGCUGAUGGAUAAGCCCAGGUGGGA